rnacentral:misc_RNA from 1 species
GAUGAAGAACGUAGCGAAAUGCGAUACGUAGUGUGAAUUGCAGGAUUCAGUGAAUCAUCGAAUCUUUGAACGCACAUUGCACCUCUCGGUAUUCCGGGAGGUAUGCCUGUUCGAGCGUCAUUUGUACCCUCAAGCUCUGCUUGGUGUUGGGUGUUUGUUCCGCCUCUGUGUGUGAACUCGCCUCAAAACAAUUGGCAGCCGGCGUACUUGUUUCGGAGCGCAGCACAUUUUGCGAUCCAGAUCAACGUACAGCGGCAUCCAAGAAGCCUUAUUUAACGCUCUUGACCUCGGAUCAGGUAGGGAUACCCGCUGAACUUAAGCAUAUCAAUAAGCGGAGGA